CCCUGGCCAAGGUUUUGCUAAAUUGAAAUACAGCGACUCAUUCUUCUCCAACUCUUGGAGUGGUCAAUCCCAUCUCGAUCACACUCUGACUUCGCAAGUACUUGACUGUGCCCAGAAGCCUUCCGUCCCUGAAUUAGAAAUUCAGUUAGUCCAGUACCAAAGCACAGUGAGUUGCUUGCAAGUCACUGAGGCGAUCUCAGAUCUAAGGGACACUUAUACCUAUAUCCCAUCAGAGACAUUCUCGACAGCAGAAUACUCUGGAGAUGGUCACGUUCAAUGACGAUGUACCCUUACAUCUCACCUGUAUGCCAUAUCAGUGUCUCCACACUCCUUAGUUAAGAGGACAACCAACCCAUAUGGCCU
rnacentral:lncRNA from 1 species